UAUGUAAAACACCUUCUUAAUUACCCACCUUUGAAGUGGGGUCAUUUAAAAUACAUUUUUUUAUUUUCGAAAUUGAUACAACAAAUGACUUCCCCAAUAGAUAACUGUUAAUUACCCUAAGUAAUUAACGUAAUUGCCAAUUAUAUUCACAGUUAACAAUAUCUUGAAUAUAUAAGGUCGGUUACUGAAAGCGAAAUUCAAAAACACUCAAAGUUUUGUAUCAACUGAAAACUAAUAAUGAAAUUCUUAACUUUCUUCCUCUUCUUGGCUUUGGUGGCUCUAUCCUUGGGAAAGCCUGCUGACGAUAAUGCCGAUGGACCGGACUCCAAUGGGCCACAACCUUCCCAUCCUGAAGAAAAUCCAACACGCUUCCAUGUGGAUCCCUACUAUAACCCCAAUGGCGGAGGAUUUGGCAUCAAUAUUGGCUUUUAAAAAAUAAAGUUAAUAAUAAAAAGAUAAAUGUCAAUAAAUAUAUGGAGAUAAAAUAACCAA